AUGAACGCUAGCUACAGGCUUAACACAUGCAAGUCGAGGGGCAGCAUGGUCUUAGCUUGCUAAGGCUGAUGGCGACCGGCGCACGGGUGAGUAACACGUAUCCAACCUGCCGUCUACUCUUGGCCAGCCUUCUGAAAGGAAGAUUAAUCCAGGAUGGGAUCAUGAGUUCACAUGUCCGCAUGAUUAAAGGUAUUUUCCGGUAGACGAUGGGGAUGCGUUCCAUUAGAUAGUAGGCGGGGUAACGGCCCACCUAGUCAACGAUGGAUAGGGGUUCUGAGAGGAAGGUCCCCCACAUUGGAACUGAGACACGGUCCAAACUCCUACGGGAGGCAGCAGUGAGGAAUAUUGGUCAAUGGGCGAUGGCCUGAACCAGCCAAGUAGCGUGAAGGAUGACUGCCCUAUGGGUUGUAAACUUCUUUUAUAAAGGAAUAAAGUCGGGUAUGCAUACCCGUUUGCAUGUACUUUAUGAAUAAGGAUCGGCUAACUCCGUGCCAGCAGCCGCGGUAAUACGGAGGAUCCGAGCGUUAUCCGGAUUUAUUGGGUUUAAAGGGAGCGUAGAUGGAUGUUUAAGUCAGUUGUGAAAGUUUGCGGCUCAACCGUAAAAUUGCAGUUGAUACUGGAUGUCUUGAGUGCAGUUGAGGCAGGUGGAAUUCGUGGUGUAGCGGUGAAAUGCUUAGAUAUCACGAAGAACUCCGAUUGCGAAGGCAGCCUGCUAAGCUGCAACUGACAUUGAGGCUCGAAAGUGUGGGUAUCAAACAGGAUUAGAUACCCUGGUAGUCCACACGGUAAACGAUGAAUACUCGCUGUUUGCGAUAUACGGCAAGCGGCCAAGCGAAAGCGUUAAGUAUUCCACCUGGGGAGUACGCCGGCAACGGUGAAACUCAAAGGAAUUGACGGGGGCCCGCACAAGCAGUGGAGUAUGUGGUUUAAUUCGAAGCAACGCGAAGAACCUUACCAGGCCUUGACAUCCCUUGCAGAGGUAUAGAGAUAUAUCCGAGGUUAUCAAGGAGACAGGUGGUGCAUGGUUGUCGUCAGCUCGUGCCGUGAGGUGUCGGCUUAAGUGCCAUAACGAGCGCAACCCUUGUUGUCAGUUACUAACAGGUGAUGCUGAGGACUCUGACAAGACUGCCAUCGUAAGAUGUGAGGAAGGUGGGGAUGACGUCAAAUCAGCACGGCCCUUACGUCCGGGGCUACACACGUGUUACAAUGGGGGGUACAGAGGGCCGCUACCACGCGAGUGGAUGCCAAUCCCUAAAACCCCUCUCAGUUCGGACUGGAGUCUGCAACCCGACUCCACGAAGCUGGAUUCGCUAGUAAUCGCGCAUCAGCCACGGCGCGGUGAAUACGUUCCCGGGCCUUGUACACACCGCCCGUCAAGCCAUGGGAGCCGGGGGUACCUGAAGUGCGUAACCGCGAGGAUCGCCCUAGGGUAAAACUGGUGACUGGGGCU
rnacentral:rRNA from 1 species